AAGGAGUCUAACAUAUAUGCGAGUAUUUGGGUGGUAAACCCAUAUGCGUAAUGAAAGUGAUAAGGUGGGAUCUUUGGUGCACCAUCGACCGGUCUGGAUACUUGUUUGAAAGAUCUGAGUAAGAGCAUAUCUGUUGGGACCCGAAAGAUGGUGAACUAUGCCUGAAUAGGGUGAAGCCAGAGGAAACUCUGGUGGAGGCUCGUAGCGAUUCUGACGUGCAAAUCGAUCGUCAAAUUUGGGUAUAGGGGCGAAAGACUAAUCGAACCAUCUAGUAGCUGGUUCCCUC
rnacentral:misc_RNA from 1 species